AUUGAACGCUGGCGGCAGGCCUAACACAUGCAAGUCGAACGAGUGGCGGACGGGUGAGUAAUGUCUGGGAAACUGCCUGAUGGAAGGGGAUAACUACUGGAAACGGUAGCUAAUACCGCAUACCAUCAGAUGUGCCCAGAUGGGAUUAGCUAGUUGGUGGGGUAACGGCUCACCAAGGAGACGAUCCCUAGCUGCUCUGCGAGGAUGACCAGCCACACUGGAACUGAGACACGGUCCAGACCCCUACGUGAGGCAGCAGUGGGGAAUAUUGCACAAUGGGAGCAAGCCUGAUGAAGCAAUGCCGCGUGUAUGAAGAAGGCCUUCGGGUUGUAAAGCACUUUCAGCGGGGAGGCGUUACCCGCAGAAGAAGCACCUGCUAACUCCGUGCCAGCAGCCGCGGUAAUUC
rnacentral:rRNA from 1 species